rnacentral:rRNA from 1 species
AUUGAACGCUGGCGGCAGGCCUAACACAUGCAAGUCGAACGAGUGGCGGACGGGUGAGUAAUGUCUGGGAAACUGCCUGAUGGAGGGGGAUAACUACUGGAAACGGUAGCUAAUACCGCAUACCAUCGGAUGUGCCCAGAUGGGCUUAGCUUGUUGGUGGGGUAACGGCUCACCAAGGCGACGAUCCCUAGCUGGGCUGAGAGGAUGACCUGCCACACUGGGACGGUGACACGGUCCAGACUCCUACGUGAGGCAGCAGUGGGGGAUAUUGCAAAAUGGGCGCAAGCCUGAGGCAGCCAUGCCGCGUGUAUGAAGAAGGCCUUCGGGUUGUAAAGUACUUUCAGCGGGGAGGCGUUACCCGCAGAAGAAGCACCGGCUAACUCCGUGCCAGCAGCCGCGGUAAUAC